UACGGAGGGGGCUAGCGUUGUUCGGAAUUACUGGGCGUAAAGGGCUCGUAGGCGGCCAACUAAGUCAGACGUGAAAUCCCUCGGCUUAACCGGGGAACUGCGUCUGAUACUGGAUGGCUUGAGAUUGGGAGAGGGAUGCGGAAUUCCAGGUGUAGCGGUGAAAUGCGUAGAUAUCUGGAGGAACACCGGUGGCGAAGGCGGCAUCCUGGACCAACACUGACGCUGAUGAGCGAAAGCCAGGGGAGCAAACGGG
rnacentral:rRNA from 1 species